UACAGAGGGUGCGAGCGUUAAUCGGAAUUGCUGGGCGUAAAGAGCGCGUAGGCGGUUUUGUAAGUCAGAUGUGAAAGACCCGGGCUUAACCUGGGAACUGCAUUUGAUACUGCAAGACUAGAGUAUGGUAGAGGAAAGUGGAAUUUCCGGUGUAGCGGUGAAAUGCGUAGAUAUCAGGAGGAACACCUGGGGUGUAGACGGCUUCCUGGACCGUUACUGACGCUGAGACACGAAAGCGUGGGGAGCAAACAGG
rnacentral:rRNA from 1 species